GGCCAAGCGAAACACAGCUGACGGCGGAUACCUAGGCACACAGAG
rnacentral:rRNA from 1 species